GGAGCUUAGCUCGCAUCUCAUCCCAAGUCUCAAUCCUAUAGACUCUGCCAACCUCGGCUACUUCCCUGUCCCACCAGGUUAGGGCAUUGUCCGUCAGUUGGGCUGCGGCUAAGGCGAUCUUCUUGGCCUCGGUAUAGCGGUAGUACUCAAAGAUGUACUCCAUGCGCCUCUCCCAUUCAAUGUAGGCGUCCGGGUCAACCUUUCCAGCAAAGGUUGGAGGAGUAAGUUUGAGAUCCUUGCCUCCUUGCCAAGCUACUUCAUCGUCUCGGAAUCUCCUUCGGACCGGGCUCCCAUCGCCUUGGACCCGAUACUCCCGUCGGUUUCCACGUCCGGCACGUUCGCGCCGCGGCUCUUCCGGUUCGGUACGGUCAGUGUCCG
rnacentral:lncRNA from 1 species